rnacentral:tRNA from 1 species
GAUCUCAUAGCUCAACAGGAUAGAGCUUCGGUUUCCUAAACCGCAGAUCCCCGUUCGAGUCGGGGUGAGAUCACCA